AUGAAUCUUCUGGCGAGCUCUGAUUCAUCUGGUAUUUCUUCAACUUCGCUCAGACGCGAUUUGGUCCCCUGUUCAGAGCUAAAGGCCCUUGAAGAUUCCCUUCUAUAUUGUGAUAUUGAUGAAUGGCCGAUUAAAUUGAUACUACCUUCAUCGGAGCUAGCAGACCUGUUGUCUAAACUUGUGGGUGAUGUUCUAGCAGCAUCCCGUUAA